ACUGGGAUAACUCCGGGAAACCGGAGCUAAUACCGGAUAGUUCCUUGAACCGCAUGGUUCAAGGAUGAAAGACGGUUUCGGCUGUCACUUACAGAUGGACCCGCGGCGCAUUAGCUAGUUGGUGAGGUAACGGCUCACCAAGGCGACGAUGCGUAGCCGACCUGAGAGGGUGAUCGGCCACACUGGGACUGAGACACGGCCCAGACUCCUACGGGAGGCAGCAGUAGGGAAUCUUCCGCAAUGGACGAAAGUCUGACGGAGCAACGCCGCGUGAGUGAUGAAGGUUUUCGGAUCGUAAAGCUCUGUUGUUAGGGAAGAACAAGUGCAAGAGUAACUGCUUGCACCUUGACGGUACCUAACCAGAAAGCCACGGCUAACUACGUGCCAGCAGCCGCGGUAAUACGUAGGUGGCAAGCGUUGUCCGGAAUUAUUGGGCGUAAAGGGCUCGCAGGCGGUUUCUUAAGUCUGAUGUGAAAGCCCCCGGCUCAACCGGGGAGGGUCAUUGGAAACUGGGAAACUUGAGUGCAGAAGAGGAGAGUGGAAUUCCACGUGUAGCGGUGAAAUGCGUAGAGAUGUGGAGGAACACCAGUGGCGAAGGCGACUCUCUGGUCUGUAACUGACGCUGAGGAGCGAAAGCGUGGGGAGCGAACAGGAUUAGAUACCCUGGUAGUCCACGCCGUAAACGAUGAGUGCUAAGUGUUAGGGGGUUUCCGCCCCUUAGUGCUGCAGCUAACGCAUUAAGCACUCCGCCUGGGGAGUACGGUCGCAAGACUGAAACUCAAAGGAAUUGACGGGGGCCCGCACAAGCGGUGGAGCAUGUGGUUUAAUUCGAAGCAACGCGAAGAACCUUACCAGGUCUUGACAUCCUCUGACAACCCUAGAGAUAGGGCUUUCCCUUCGGGGACAGAGUGACAGGUGGUGCAUGGUUGUCGUCAGCUCGUGUCGUGAGAUGUUGGGUUAAGUCCCGCAACGAGCGCAACCCUUGAUCUUAGUUGCCAGCAUUCAGUUGGGCACUCUAAGGUGACUGCCGGUGACAAACCGGAGGAAGGUGGGGAUGACGUCAAAUCAUCAUGCCCCUUAUGACCUGGGCUACACACGUGCUACAAUGGACAGAACAAAGGGCUGCGAGACCGCAAGGUUUAGCCAAUCCCACAAAUCUGUUCUCAGUUCGGAUCGCAGUCUGCAACUCGANUGCGUGAAGGUAGAAUUAANNNUUAUCACGGUAGAGCAUGACCCGGUCACUGUAAGUCGUAACAAGGUAGCCGUAAGUCGUAAC
rnacentral:rRNA from 1 species